CAUUGGUUAUCCGGAUGAAUUGGCCCUUUGGCCGGAUGGGCAGCGUUCAUAUUAGUAACUGCCGGACCCUCCCGGAACUGGCCAUUCCCGGAGGGGGAGGCAGGAACACAGAAACUUGGCUCUGGGGUGCAUCUAAAGAGAUAUGUAAGAAAGACCUCAGACAGAUUGAUUGAUUUGAUUGCUGUUUUCAAGAAAUUGCUAUUCAGAAGAUUUGCUGUUUCGGGACUGCUUUUCAGGAUUGGAUUGUUUCAGAGUAAGAGAUCGGAACUUGCCUCAAUGGACAGUGGAGACUUCUUUUGUUGGUGAAUUGUCAUCAUUCUAGCAUCUUUGGGAACUUGUAUGCAGCUUGCAGCUUGCAGUAUCAGAAGACUUCCUAACUUCCAACAACUACAACAAUGCCAACAACAACAUUCUUGGGAGCUAGCAAGCAGCGGUGUGGGAGACGCCUGAGUUUCUCUCAGCUACAGACCUGGCAAGGUUUCGAUUUAUGACUUUUCCAGUGCUGUUCUCCCCCAGCUUGAGGGAGAAAGCUGUGACUCAGAGCCCAGAUGGACAGAGGGAAGUACGACUGGCUAUAUCGCCUGCAGCCCACAGUGCCUGUCCUGAGGAAAGCAAUAGGUCCUCUGCCUCAGCAAGCCGCCCAGGGUGUUCCCAGGAGACCUGGAAACAGGCAGGGUGAAGGCUUCAGAGCUAGGCCGGGGUGUUCCCCUCUAGUGCUUACUCAAGCCCCCACCCAAACCUUGAGAAAAGUAACAAUGGACUGUCAUGCCUGUCAAAUCUGAGGCUUUGGGGGCCGGCCCGGUGGCUCAGGCGGUUGGAGCUCCAUGCUCCUAACUCCGAAGGCUGCCGGUUGGAUUCCCACAUGGUCCAGGGGGCUCUCAACCAC